AUUGAACGCUGGCGGCAUGCCUUACACAUGCAAGUCGAACGGCAGCACGGGUGCUUGCCCCUGGUGGCGAGUGGCGAACGGGUGAGUAAUACAUCGGAACAUGUCCUGUAGUGGGGGAUAGCCCGGCGAAAGCCGGAUUAAUACCGCAUACGAUCUACGGAUGAAAGCGGGGGACCUUCGGGCCUCGCGCUAUAGGGUUGGCCGAUGGCUGAUUAGCUAGUUGGUGGGGUAAAGGCCUACCAAGGCGACGAUCAGUAGCUGGUCUGAGAGGACGACCAGCCACACUGGGACUGAGACACGGCCCAGACUCCUACGGGAGGCAGCAGUGGGGAAUUUUGGGCAAUGGGCGAAAGCCUGAUCCAGCAAUGCCGCGUGUGUGAAGAAGGCCUUCGGGUUGUAAAGCACUUUUGUCCGGAAAGAAAUCCUUGGCCCUAAUACGGUCGGGGGAUGACGGUACCGGAAGAAUAAGCACCGGCUAACUACGUG
rnacentral:rRNA from 1 species